AGCUAGUUAUCUCCAUCCAUUUAUCGUUUUACGACGUGAAGAUUGGACCUUCCCUUAUACACCCUCGGCUUCGUAGACAGUGACACAUUAGUCGUCGGCCAUGGUCAAAGGCGUUUAGGUGAAAGGCAUGCAUACAUGUAAGUAAGACACCCCACCUCACCCCAUUUCCUGUUAUCUCCUUUCACCCGUCGAAUCCUCCAUCCAUCGUGAUCCCGGCGGGGCGGCGAUGGCGCUGCGGUGUGGGCUCGCGGUUGCCGGCGAGUCCCCGCGGACUGGGUAGUGAACGGUACGGCGCUGCCUCGUCGGGGCGCUUGGUGCAGUCCGCCGUGUGCGAGGAGGCGGCUGCCGCAGAGGAAUCCAAGGAUCUGGCGAGCCAACCCUCGGAUUCGUCCGCGGCGCUCUGUGGAAAGAGCUCCGGCGACUAACACGGCUAGGCGUUGCGACGGGUUACAUGCACUCGGUCCAUGCGGAGGACGAAUUCGUCGGCCAUGGCGGUCAGGAGGUUGAAAAAAUCGCGGGAGAGAAGAAGGAGAGGUAGGAUCGAUGCGACGACGGGGGUUCCUCUGCUCUUCUGGUGGCGGUGUCCGGGGUCGAGCGGCGGCGUGCGGUCCGAUGAGCAGGCUGGGCCGCGGGGAAAGCUUCCACGCUCCAUGUCCUGCGGGCUGGCUCCGUGCUUCCGCGCCCUCCGCCGCCGGGGAAAGUCCCCCGUUGAGACGCAAUACAACUCUCCGGUGGUAGGCGCUCCUGCAUCUGCUCCGGUCGUCGUCGCUAAGGCCGAGCCUGUGGCGUCGUCCAGGUUCCAAGAAUCCAGACGAGCCCUUCGGGUACUUGGAACUUGACCAUGAUUUGGGGAACUUGGUGAGAUUUCCGUUCCAUUCCUCGCCUCACAACGGUUUUAAAUCUUCGGCUGAAGUUCUAAUGUAGGAAUUGGUGAGCAUGUCUUUUUUUCCCAAGUUGUUGCUGCGCUGAAUAAUCCUCUAGUUGCUCUUUUCUGCUAGCUCCCUGUGGAACAUGGCAAAAAAAAAUUAAAUGUCAGCAUGGCAAAUUGUUGAACAUUUAGCAGAUUCCCCAUACUAUUUCAGUGGACUUAGACAUUGGACUUCCUCUUGUCUUUGGGUAACUAGCUUGGCCAUGCUCUAUAUGCGUCAUCAAUUUGGGAAGCAUGCUCCUCUUCUUGGCAUCAUGGCAAAUUAAUGUGAAUUUUGGCAUUUGAUGCUCCAUGGUAAUUCGUUUUUGUAUGCAUCAUGCCGAUCGUGGCAAACUUACAGGAAAUUCAUCAUCACGACAAAUUUUAAUCCUAAGCAUGGUAGCAUGCUUUUUAAGUUUCCAUGGCAAAAAUAAUUUCUCAAGUAAACAUGGCAACAUGUUUUUUUGGUUCCCAUGGUGAUGUGUCAUCCAAAUCGUUGCAAAAAGCAAAAAGCCCCUCCUCCAGCAGCUUCCCUGCUUGGAUCCCUCUCCACCAGCUUCUCUACACAGAUAUGGCUACCACACCAAGCUGCAACAACAAUUAUAUUCCUCCCUGUGGCACAUGCUAUCACAAGUUAGUUUUUUAACUAGGGGCUGAUCUAUAUUUCUCCUAUUAAUACAAUGUACACAUCUAUCUGCAAGAGCUUGAUCAUUCAUUUGGUUGCAUACAUCUGUAGCUUGACAAUUUAAUGGUCAAAGUGAAUAAUUAUUUGACAAGUUCUACCUAAGAUUAUGGACAAAUUAUAUGUGGUUUGAGGUGUGUAUAAGUCACUUGUUGCAUUGACCAACCGUCCAAAAUUUUAAUGUUAUAAGGCUCACAACUGAUGCAUAAUUGCACGUCAUAGGGUUUACCAAGUGUUAUUUACCAAUGACUUGCAUCUUGCUUUCUUUUAUCGUGGGGAUGUUUUAAGCAUUAGUAUUUGUUUCCUAUAAAAAUAAUGCAAGUUUAUAGCUUCAGAUUUAGCUUACUGAUCCUUUUAAUCUUGUGGUUCGUUGGCUUACUAUUGAUAUUUAAUUGAUGUUUCCAUUGUAACUCGUAAUGUAAAAUCUCGUGCUUAUUGUAAAAGGCCAGAUGGGAAUAAUCGGUUGAGUGAUUAUUUUGAUAUGAAGCUUUGGUUCGGAGAGAAGCAACAUGGUUUCUUAAAAAAAAAGGUAAGAUCAGAUGUUGAAUAUAACUGAUCUGUUACAUGUUUAUGUGUAGGGAAAGCACAAUUGUUGCUUCAAAGCAAUAAUUACUAAUUAUCAGCUGCAAACUAAUUGUCCCUCCAUUGUCCAUUUGUCCUUGACUUCUGCUUCUUGUCAUCAAUCCAAUGAUGGGCCUUGAGGGCAAUAGUCAAGAACCAUUGUUGGGUUCGUCAUUAUCUCACCAUCUUUGUGGUUAAUUUGGUUGCGGGCCAUGGAUUAUGGAGUCCACAUGAUCUUAUAGAUGGAUAAUGCUGGGAAAUUUCCUCUCUUCUGCUUUCCUUACGUUUGUUCUGUAGAUCUUCUUGAUUUAUGGGAUACUUGAUUUUGCAACUGUUUUAGAGCAGAAAAUAUCUUAUCAACGAGGAGAGACAUGUAGCAGCACGACAAGGAUUAGGGAAAGUAGUAGUAGUAGCAGCAGCAUGACUCAGCAUACCAACAACAUUAUUGUGAUUUCUCUAUCACUGAGUGGAAAAUCUUGUUUUGCAGUACACUGGAAACUCGAGAUGUGACAUCAAUGGUUGCAUAGAUUACGACACUAUAAUGAAUUGUGUGAUUUGCGUCUUUGUAUAUGCUAGUACAUUUGCUUGGUGGUAGAGAAUCUCAUGUAGGACUGAAAAUUUGAUGUAUGAUAUGUAUGUUAAUGCUACAUGAUGUAAUUAUUUUCUUGAAUUGUUAUUAUUUUCUGAAUGUUUGCAACUUCUGUUUCUCAUGACAAGUUAAUUUUUGUGAUUUUU
rnacentral:lncRNA from 1 species